rnacentral:rRNA from 1 species
AAUCAACGCUGGCGGCGUGCCUAACACAUGCAAGUCGCACGAGAAAGGGGAGCAAUCCCUGAGUAAAGUGGCGCACGGGUGAGUAACACGUGAAUCAUCUACCUCCGAGUGGGGAAUAACUGAGAGAAAUCUUAGCUAAUACCGCAUAACACUUACGAGUCAAAGCAGCAAUGCGCUUGGAGAGGAGUUCGCGGCCGAUUAGUUAGUUGGCGGGGUAAUGGCCCACCAAGACGAUGAUCGGUAUCCGGCCUGAGAGGGCGCACGGACACACUGGAACUGAAACACGGUCCAGACUCCUACGGGAGGCAGCAGUGGGGAAUUUUGCGCAAUGGGGGAAACCCUGACGCAGCAACGCCGCGUGGAGGAUGAAGUAUCUUGGUACGUAAACUCCUUUCGAUUGGGAAGAUAAUGACGGUACCAAUAGAAGAAGCCCGGCUAACUUCGUGCCAGCAGCCGCCG